AUGGAAGGGCCAUCGCUCAACGGAUAAAAGGUACGCCGGGGAUAACAGGCUGAUACUGCCCAAGAGUCCAUAUCGACGGCAUUGUUUGGCACCUCGAUGUCGGCUCAUCGCAUCCUGGGGCUGGAGCAGGUCCCAAGGGUACGGCUGUUCGCCGUUUAAAGAGGUACGUGAGCUGGGUUUAGAACGUCGUGAGACAGUUCGGUCCCUAUCUGCCGUGGGUGUAGGAUACUUGAGAGGAGUUGCCCCUAGUACGAGAGGACCGGGGUGAACGAUCCACUGGUGGACCUGUUGUGGCGCCAGCCGCAGUGCAGGGUAGCUAUGAUCGGAAAGGAUAACCGCUGAAGGCAUCUAAGCGGGAAGCCCCCCUCAAAACCAGUUUUCCCUUGAGAGUCGUGGAAGACCACCACGUUGAUAGGCCAGAUGUGGAAGUGCGGUGACGCAUGAAGCUGA
rnacentral:rRNA from 1 species